CUCUGCCGCCCGCCAACAGCAUUCAAUUGCUGCGCUGUUUCUUGUUCUUGGGUGGACAGGACGCGAAGGGGAGGGUGGCACGCCGGGGCGAUCGCAGCGACUGUGGACAACGCGUGCUCCGCGGUGGCGCUCACGUGCGGCACUUGAAUUUCCUAUUUUACCUAACCCAAUCAAUCAAAGUCAGAUUGGAUCGAAUCGAACCAAUCCAGCUGGUCUUCCUCUCCUCCUCCCCCUCGGACGCAAGAGGAGGUGGAAUAGGGGCUCCGCUGCCGGCUCAAACUGUCUCCCAGCAAGGUCACUGGACGCCGGGAACCGAACGGCUAAGGUGAUAAUCCAAUCCAAACGCAUCUGGGGCCGAAAAUUUCCGACGUCUACAAUAGAUUUCCUGUGGAAACGCCUCACAGGAGGAUUUCGCAGGAGGAGUAUCCAUCUG